rnacentral:rRNA from 2 species
UUAAAUUGAAGAGUUUGAUCAUGGCUCAGAUUGAACGCUGGCGGCAGGCCUAACACAUGCAAGUCGAACGGUAACAGAAAGAAGCUUGCUUCUUUGCUGACGAGUGGCGGACGGGUGAGUAAUGUCUGGGAAACUGCCUGAUGGAGGGGGAUAACUACUGGAAACGGUAGCUAAUACCGCAUAACGUCGCAAGACCAAAGAGGGGGACCUUCGGGCCUCUUGCCAUCGGAUGUGCCCAGAUGGGAUUAGCUUGUUGGUGGGGUAACGGCUCACCAAGGCGACGAUCCCUAGCUGGUCUGAGAGGAUGACCAGCCACACUGGAACUGAGACACGGUCCAGACUCCUACGGGAGGCAGCAGUGGGGAAUAUUGCACAAUGGGCGCAAGCCUGAUGCAGCCAUGCCGCGUGUAUGAAGAAGGCCUUCGGGUUGUAAAGUACUUUCAGCGGGGAGGAAGGGAGUAAAGUUAAUACCUUUGCUCAUUGACGUUACCCGCAGAAGAAGCACCGGCUAACUCCGUGCCAGCAGCCGCGGUAAUACGGAGGGUGCAAGCGUUAAUCGGAAUUACUGGGCGUAAAGCGCACGCAGGCGGUUUGUUAAGUCAGAUGUGAAAUCCCCGGGCUCAACCUGGGAACUGCAUCUGAUACUGGCAAGCUUGAGUCUCGUAGAGGGGGGUAGAAUUCCAGGUGUAGCGGUGAAAUGCGUAGAGAUCUGGAGGAAUACCGGUGGCGAAGGCGGCCCCCUGGACGAAGACUGACGCUCAGGUGCGAAAGCGUGGGGAGCAAACAGGAUUAGAUACCCUGGUAGUCCACGCCGUAAACGAUGUCGACUUGGAGGUUGUGCCCUUGAGGCGUGGCUUCCGGAGCUAACGCGUUAAGUCGACCGCCUGGGGAGUACGGCCGCAAGGUUAAAACUCAAAUGAAUUGACGGGGGCCCGCACAAGCGGUGGAGCAUGUGGUUUAAUUCGAUGCAACGCGAAGAACCUUACCUGGUCUUGACAUCCACGGAAGUUUUCAGAGAUGAGAAUGUGCCUUCGGGAACCGUGAGACAGGUGCUGCAUGGCUGUCGUCAGCUCGUGUUGUGAAAUGUUGGGUUAAGUCCCGCAACGAGCGCAACCCUUAUCCUUUGUUGCCAGCGGUCCGGCCGGGAACUCAAAGGAGACUGCCAGUGAUAAACUGGAGGAAGGUGGGGAUGACGUCAAGUCAUCAUGGCCCUUACGACCAGGGCUACACACGUGCUACAAUGGCGCAUACAAAGAGAAGCGACCUCGCGAGAGCAAGCGGACCUCAUAAAGUGCGUCGUAGUCCGGAUUGGAGUCUGCAACUCGACUCCAUGAAGUCGGAAUCGCUAGUAAUCGUGGAUCAGAAUGCCACGGUGAAUACGUUCCCGGGCCUUGUACACACCGCCCGUCACACCAUGGGAGUGGGUUGCAAAAGAAGUAGGUAGCUUAACCUUCGGGAGGGCGCUUACCACUUUGUGAUUCAUGACUGGGGUGAAGUCGUAACAAGGUAACCGUAGGGGAACCUGCGGUUGGAUCACCUCCUUACCUUAAAGAAGC